rnacentral:tRNA from 1 species
GCCCGGGUGGCGGAACUGGUAGACGCCGGGGACUUAAAAUCCCCUGCCAUCGUGCGUGCGGGUUCGACUCCCGCCCCGGGCA